GAUGAACGCUGGCGGCGUGCCUAAUACAUGCAAGUCGAGCGAACGGACGAGAAGCUUGCUUAUCUGAUGUUAGCGGCGGACGGGUGAGUAACACGUGGAUAACCUACCUAUAAGACUGGGAUAACUUCGGGAAACCGGAGCUAAUACCGGAUAAUAUUUUGAACCGCAUGGUUCAAAAGUGAAAGACGGUCUUGCUGUCACUUAUAGAUGGAUCCGCGCUGCAUUAGCUAGUUGGUAAGGUAACGGCUUACCAAGGCAACGAUGCAUAGCCGACCUGAGAGGGUGAUCGGCCACACUGGAACUGAGACACGGUCCAGACUCCUACGGGAGGCAGCAGUAGGGAAUCUUCCGCAAUGGGCGAAAGCCUGACGGAGCAACGCCGCGUGAGUGAUGAAGGUCUUCGGAUCGUAAAACUCUGUUAUUAGGGAAGAACAUAUGUGUAAGUAACUGUGCACAUCUUGACGGUACCUAAUCAUAAAGCCACGGCUAACUACGUG
rnacentral:rRNA from 1 species